UAGGCGUCUCCGCUUGCAGUACUUCGUUCCAUCGUUGUAUUCGAAUUAUUGCAUGUCUUCUUAUUUCUGGUGGUGCUAUUCUAAUUAGAGGAUAGAUAUUACUUAUUGGUAUUGGUCUGAGGCAUCCUGAUAUUAUUCUACAUGUUUCGUUCAAUGCAGUAUCGACGUGUAAAGUAUAUUUUGACUGUUACCACGCUGGGCAAGCGUACUCCCCGGUGGAGAAACAUAGCUCUAAGCUACUUAAUCGUAUGUGUUCGGUCUUGCUCUUAACGUGAAAUGAGUGAAAAUAAUGCCAUAUUGAUAAACAAAUUCUGUGUUCGACUCUUGUUCUACCGUCAAUAUUUUCUGAUCAGACAAAUACAUAGUGUACGAUGAGAAAUAUCAUGCUAAAACCGUUCAGUAAGAAAAAAUAAUUACAUUUUUUUGUUUACAUACAUUUGCGAUUUUCUAGAGAUAUAUGUUAAAAUUUUUCUUGUCAUAAGAAUGAUAAAUUCCAUUCA